rnacentral:tRNA from 2 species
GAGGUGUUAGUCCAAAAAAGAUAGCUGAUUUCGGCUCAGCUGAUUGUGGUUCAAGCCCACAGCCCCUCU